rnacentral:rRNA from 1 species
GACGAACGCUGGCGGCGUGCCUAAUACAUGCAAGUCGAACGCAGUGGGGACGGGUGAGUAACACGUGGGUAACCUCCCAUCAGAGGGGGAAACACUUGGAAACAGGUGCUAAACCGAUACUGAUGGAUGGACCCGCGGUGCAUUAGCUAGUUGGUGCGGUAACGGCUCACAAGGGCCACGCUGCAUAGCCGACCGGGUAGGGUGAUCGGCCAAACGGGGACUUAGAAACGGCCCAGACUCCUACGGGAGGCAGCAGUAGUGAAUCUUCGGCAAGGGACGAAAGCCUGACCGAGCAACGCCGCGUGAGUGAAGAAGUUUUUCGGAGCGUAAAACUCUGUUGUUAGUGAAGCGGUAUCUAACCAGAAAGCCACGGCUAACUACGUGCCAGCAGCCGCGGUAAUUC